rnacentral:rRNA from 1 species
AACGAACGCUGGCGGCAUGCCUAACACAUGCAAGUCGAACGAGACCUUCGGGACUAGUGGCGCACGGGUGCGUAACGCGUGGGAACCUGCCCUUAGGCUCGGAAUAACUCCCCGACGGGGGUGCUAAUACCGGAUAAUGUCUUCGGACCACAGAUUUAUCUUCCUUGGAGGGGCCCGAGUUGGUUUAGCUAGUUGGUAGGGUAAAAGCCUAUCACGGCGACGAUCCAUAGCUGGUAUCAGAGGAAGGGCAGCCACACUGAGACUGGGACACGGUCCAGACUACUGCGGGAGGGAGCAGAGGGGAAUAUUGGACAAUCGGCGAAAGGCUGAUCCAGCAAGGCCGGGUGAGUGAUGAAGUUCGUAGGGUUGUAAAGCUCGUUUACCCGGGAUUAUAAUGACAGUACCGGGAGAAUAAGCACCGGCUAACUCCGUG